ACAGAGGGUGCGAGCGUUAAUCGGAAUUACUGAGCGUAAAGCGCGUGUAGGCGGCUGGUUAAGUGUGAUGUGAAAUCCUCGGGCUCAACCCGAGAACUGCAUUGCAAACUGGCCUGGCUAGAGUGCAGGAGAGGGAAGCGGAAUUCCAGGUGUAGCGGUGAAAUGCGUAGAUAUCUGGAGGAACACCGGUGGCGAAGGCGGCAUCCUGGACCGGCAUUGACGCUGAACAGCGAAAGCCAGGGGAGCAAACGGGA
rnacentral:rRNA from 1 species